rnacentral:misc_RNA from 1 species
CAGGAAGGUGCAUUCAAGAACAAUCAGAUCAUCACAAAUCAUAGCUAGCUCAAUUAAUUCCCAACAAACAGGGAAAAUUACUCAUGCAUUAAUGCAACAAGUCUGUCUACAUUACAUUUCUCUCUCUCUCUCUUUUUUUUUUUUUUGGAAAACAAAAAUCAAUUCAGGGCUCAAAUUUUACACAAAUUUUGGCUUGGACUCAUUGACAAUGCAUUCGGUGUGAGGUUUUAUUGAUAAUUCUCAUGAUGUUUUCCCACCCCUUUGCUUCUUUUCUUCUAGUGCAGUAGCU